UUGAAUAACUUGGCAUUGAUGCUGGCCCUCUCGGGGGCAUGUGCUCGUGUCAUAUUAUUUAUCUAUCUCUUGUGCACCUUUUGUAGUCUUUGAAGCGAGAAUUUUGCACGCACUUUCAAAGUGCUGUGGUCUGGGGAUUGAGCCUAACCCGCUCUUUCCGUGCUUCGCUUCAAGGACUAUGUUUUCAUACACCCUAUAUAAAGUUACAGAAUGUCUUCUUAUUGACUGAAAAGUCGGUAAAACCUAUA
rnacentral:misc_RNA from 1 species